rnacentral:tRNA from 1 species
UGGGGUAUAGCUCAGUAGGUAGAGCGGCGGUCUCUGAAACCGUAGGCCAUAGGUUCGAUCCCUAUUGCCCCUG